AGAGUUUGAUCCUGGCUCAGAACGAACGUUGGCGGCGUGGAUUAGGCAUGCAAGUCGAACGAGAACCGGUAGCAAUACUGGGGAAAGUGGCGAAAGGGGCAGUAAUGCAUGGGUAAUCUACCCCGGGGACGUGGAUAGCCAUUCUAACGAGUGGGUAAUACACGGCGAUUCGGCGAGGGGGCAUCCUUUUGCCGGGAAAUGAAUUUCGCCUCGGGAGGAACUCAUGUCGUAUUAGCUUGUUGGCGGGGUAACGGCCCACCAAGGCAAAGAUGCGUAGCGGGUGUGAGAGCACGACCCGCGCCACUGGCACUGAGACACUGGCCAGACACCUACGGGUGGCUGCAGUCGGGGAUCUUCGGCAAUGGGCGCAAGCCUGACCGAGCGACGCCGCGUGUGCGACGAAGGCCUUCGGGUUGUAAAGCACUGUCGAGGGGGAGGAAAGCCGAAAGGUCUGACCUAUCCCUGGAGGAAGCACGGGCUAAGUUCGUGCCAGCAGCCGCGGUAAGACGAACCGUGCGAACGUUGUUCGGAAUCACUGGGCUUAAAGGGCGCGUAGGCGGGCGAUCAAGUCAGGGGUGAAAUCCUCCGGCUCAACCGGAGAACUGCCUCUGAUACUGGUCAUCUUGAGUGAGGUAGGGGCGUGCGGAACUGAUGGUGGAGCGGUGAAAUGUUGAUAUCAUCAGGAACUCCGGUGGCGAAAGCGGCGCGCUGGACCUUAACUGACGCUGAGGCGCGAAAGCCAGGGGAGCGAACGGGAUUAGAUACCCUAGUAGUCC
rnacentral:rRNA from 1 species